GAUGAAGAACGCAGCGAAAUGCGAUAAGUAAUGUGAAUUGCAGAAUUCAGUGAAUCAUCGAAUCUUUGAACGCACCUUGCGCUCCUUGGUAUUCCGAGGAGCAUGCCUGUUUGAGUGUCAUUAAAUUAUCAACCUCACCAGUUUUGUGAUGAAACUGUGUA
rnacentral:rRNA from 1 species